UGGGGAAUAUUGCACAAUGGGGGAAACCCUGAUGCAGCGACGCCGCGUGGAGGAAGAAGGUCUUCGGAUUGUAAACUCCUGUUGUUGGGGAAAAUAAGGAUGGUACCCAACAAGGAAGUGACGGCUAACUACGUGCCAGCAGCCGCGGUAAAACGUAGGUCACAAGCGUUGUCCGGAAUUACUGGGUGUAAAGGGAGCGCAGGCGGGUAUGCAAGUUGGAAGUGAAAUACAUGGGCUCAACCCAUGAACUGCUCUCAAAACUGUGUAUCUUGAGUAGUGCAGAGGUAGGCGGAAUUCCCGGUGUAGCGGUGGAAUGCGUAGAUAUCGGGAGGAACACCAGUGGCGAAGGCGGCCUACUGGGCACCAACUGACGCUGAGGCUCGAAAGUGUGGGUAGCAAACAGGAUUAGAUACCCCAGU
rnacentral:rRNA from 1 species